GGAGUUUAGGAUAAAAAGUCCAAGAGCCUUCAAAGCCCUAAGUAGACUAAAAAGUUUAACUCCUG
rnacentral:tRNA from 1 species